AACACAUGCAAGUCGAGGGGCAGCAUGAUUGAAGCUUGCUUCAAUCGAUGGCGACCGGCGCACGGGUGAGUAACACGUAUCCAACCUGCCGAUAACUCGGGGAUAGCCUUUCGAAAGAAAGAUUAAUACCCGAUAGUAUAGUAUUUCCGCAUGGUUUCACUAUUAAAGAAUUUCGGUUAUCGAUGGGGAUGCGUUCCAUUAGAUAGUUGGCGGGGUAACGGCCCACCAGGUCAACGAUGGAUAGGGGUUCUGAGAGGAAGGUCCCCCACAUUGGAACUGAGACACGGUCCAAACUCCUACGGGAGGCAGCAGUGAGGAAUAUUGGUCAAUGGACGAGAGUCUGAACCAGCCAAGUAGCGUAAAGGAUGACUGCCCUAUGGGUUGUAAACUUCUUUUAUACGGGAAUAAAGUGGAGUAUGCAUACUCCUUUGUAUGUACCGUAUGAAUAAGGAUCGGCUAACUCCGUGCCAGCAGCCGCGGUAAUACGGAGGAUCCGAGCGUUAUCCGGAUUUAUUGGGUUUAAAGGGAGCGUAGGCGGGUGCUUAAGUCAGUUGUGAAAGUUUGCGGCUCAACCGUAAAAUUGCAGUUGAUACUGGGUACCUUGAGUGCAGCAUAGGUAGGCGGAAUUCGUGGUGUAGCGGUGAAAUGCUUANAUAU
rnacentral:rRNA from 1 species